AAGACAGCAACUAUACACAAAGGUGCUGGUAAUAAAUUUAUUAAAAUUUAAACAUUUCUGGGUCACAUGCAACAAACUUCAACAUUUCCAAGGCAAACGCUGGAAAUGAUGAUGUGCAUGACCUAUGGAAUAGUAUUUUGAAAAAUCUCUCAGUGAUGACUGAAAUAAAGCUGUAUUUAAAUCGGGAUAUGCCAACCUUAAGGAAAUGCAUGCUACCAGCUAGAAUCACGGACAUUUCUUUAGUGGACAGGACAGAGCGCACAAAAUACGGUGUCUCAAUGUGUACACACACAUCCAAAUAUGUAUGUGCGGUUGUUAUCAUUUUCCUGAGUGGUGGUCGAGCACGCCAGUAAAUUGGGGUGGAUUAAGCAGGUUACUAAUGGGGUGACAUUUUGACAUAAAAGUUGUUGGCAGCUAAGCAAAUUACAAGGAUACCUGGGAGCACAGCCCGAUACUUUGACACAUAUCAAUUAAAUGGCACACCUGUGGGAAACAACAUCAUCUUCUAGCGAUUGGAAGGGAUCAAAAAUUCGUUGCGUGAGUUUUUUUUUUAUUAUGAUAAGUGAACGGACGGACAAGAAAAACAAAUUGAGGUGUGAGACUGUAGUAUGGAAUUGGAUUGCUCAAUGAUGUAUUCCACAUACGCCCAAAAAAGAUUUACAGGGAAUAUCUCUUAUAAACAACAACAACAAAAUGUUUUAUGAAUUGGUUUGGGUUUAUUUCAUGCGCUGAAAUAGAGAAAAAA
rnacentral:sRNA from 1 species